GUAUAAAUUUAAAGGCAUUGCUUUUUUACGGCAAGCCAUCAAUGACAUUCUGUUACAUUCUAAAUGGGGUGUAUAAAAACAUAGACGCUGGAAAAAUAAGCAAGGGAAGCCGACCUCCUGAGAAGCCAGCAUGCCCUCAAAUCCAAGUUUCCUUGAAAGGUUUGUUUUUAUCCAGGUCUACAAAGAGUGCACAGGUGGUUGAGAAGAGUUUGAAAGGCGUGCACAAUGCUCCAAAGAGCCAGCUACAACCUCCCAACUUAUUCAAUAAUGAUCCUUCCGCAGGUUCACCUACGGAAA
rnacentral:misc_RNA from 1 species